rnacentral:rRNA from 1 species
UGGGGAAUUUUGGACAAUGGGGGAAACCCUGAUCCAGCCAUCCCGCGUGUGCGAUGAAGGCCUUCGGGUUGUAAAGCACUUUUGGCAGGAAAGAAACGUCGCGGGUUAAUACCCCGCGAAACUGACGGUACCUGCAGAAUAAGCACCGGCUAACUACGUGCCAGCAGCCGCGGUAAUACGUAGGGUGCAAGCGUUAAUCGGAAUUACUGGGCGUAAAGCGUGCGCAGGCGGUUCGGAAAAGAAAGAUGUGAAAUCCCCAGAGCUUAACUUUGGAACUGCAUUUUUAACUACCGGGCUAGAGUGUGUCAGAGGGAGGUGGAAUUCCNCGUGUAGCAGUGAAAUGCGUAGAUAUGCGGAGGAACACCGAUGGCGAAGGCAGCCUCCUGGGAUAACACUGACGCUCAUGCACGAAAGCGUGGGGAGCAAACAGGAUUAGAUACCCUGGUAGUCCACGCCCUAAACGAUGUCAACUAGCUGUUGGGGGCCUUCGGGCCUUGGUAGCGCAGGCUAACGCGUGAAGUUGACCGCCUGGGGGAGUACGGUCGCAAGAUUAAAAACUUAAAUGAAUUGAACGGGGGUCAUAGCUGUUU